CGGGGCGUAGCGCAGUCUGGUAGCGCACCGGUCUGGGGGACCGGUGGUCAUCGGUUCAAAUCCGGUCGCCCCGACCA
rnacentral:tRNA from 1 species